rnacentral:rRNA from 1 species
ACCUACGGGGGGCAGCAGUAGGGAAUUUUCGUCAAUGGGCGCAAGCCUGAACGAGCAAUGCCGCGUGAACGAGGAAGGUCUUCGGAUCGUAAAGUUCUGUUGAAGGGGAAAAAGAGCGGAGAGAGGAAAUGGUCUCCGAUUGAUAUUACCCUUCGAGGAAGUCACGGCUAACUACGUGCCAGCAGCCGCGGUAAUACGUAGGUGGCGAGCGUUAUCCGGAAUGAUUGGGCGUAAAGGGUGCGUAGGCGGCCUGCUAAGUCUGGAGUGAAAGGUACGGGCUCAACCGGUACAGGCUCUGGAAACUG